AAACUAAAGGAAAUAAAAGAAAGAAAAUAAAACAAUAAUAAGAAAAUAAAAAAUAAAAAAUAUACACAAAAGACAAAAAUAUGCUGAAAAUUGGGGGUGUAGCUAGGAAAAUGCUCUAGACCCAAAGAAGGGAGCCUCACAAGGUGCAUUGAGCAAUUAGGGAGUGUGGGAGAGACUUCAUCUUCCCAAAUCUCAUAUUUGAUUACUAUUUCCGUAGCAACAAAAAUGGAAGAAAAUGAGUUUCAACGAAAACGUAAAAACACCAUAAUUU
rnacentral:lncRNA from 1 species